UUUCCCAUUUGACUACCACAUUUUCUCCCGAUAAUGGAUUUUAGUGGCUGUGCUUAUGGGAUAGGUUACAAUUGCCAUGAUCUAAAAAAGGAGGGUUUUCUGGUGUCCUGUUUCUAUUGGGUUAUUGGAAAAAG
ensembl:snoRNA